UACGGAGGGUGCAAGCGUUGUCCGGAUUUAUUGGGUUUAAAGGGUGCGUAGGCGGCUCUUUAAGUCAGUGGUGAAAGCCUCCAGCUUAACUGGAGAAAUGCCAUUGAUACUGAAGAACUUGAGUACAGACGAGGUAGGCGGAAUUGACAGUGUAGCGGUGAAAUGCAUAGAUAUUGUCAAGAACACCGAUUGCGAAGGCAGCUUACUAGACUGUAACUGACGCUGAGGCACGAAAGUGCGGGGAUCAAACAGG
rnacentral:rRNA from 1 species